rnacentral:siRNA from 1 species
ACGCCUCAGCAGAAUGGAGUUGUG